CCUACGGGUGGCAGCAGUGGGGAAUAUUGCACAAUGGGCGCAAGCCUGAUGCAGCAACGCCGCGUGAAGGAAGACGGUUUUCGGAUUGUAAACUUCUGUUCUUAGUGAAGAAUAAUGACGGUAACUAAGGAGCAAGCCACGGCUAACUCCGUGCCAGCAGCCGCGGUAAUACGUAGGUGGCAAGCGUUGUCCGGAAUUACUGGGUGUAAAGGGAGCGUAGGCGGGAAGCUAAGUCAGCUGUGAAAACUACGGGCUUAACCGGGAGACUGCAGUUGAAACUGGCGUUCUUGAGUGAAGUAGAGGUUGGCGGAAUGCCGGGGGUAGCGGUGAAAUGCGUAGAUAUUCGGAGGAACACCGGUGGCGAAGGCGGCCAACUGGGCUUUAACUGACGCUGAGGCUCGAAAGUGUGGGGAGCAAACAGGAUUAGAUACCCUAGUAGUC
rnacentral:rRNA from 1 species